AUUGAACGCUGGCGGUAGGCUUAACACAUGCAAGUCGAACGGUAACAUAGCUAGCUUGCUAGCUGAUGACGAGUGGCGGACGGGUGAGUAACGCGUAGGAAUCUACCUAUUAGUGGGGGACAACCUGGUGAAAACCAGGCUAAUACCGCAUACGCCCUACGGGGGAAAGCAGGGGAUCUUCGGACCUUGCGCUAUUAGAUGAGCCUGCGUUAGAUUAGCUUGUUGGUGAGGUAAUGGCUCACCAAGGCGACGAUCUAUAGCUGGUCUGAGAGGAUGAUCAGCCACACUGGGACUGAGACACGGCCCAGACUCCUACGGGAGGCAGCAGUGGGGAAUAUUGCGCAAUGGGCGAAAGCCUGACGCAGCCAUACCGCGUGUGUGAAGAAGGGUUUAGGCUCGUAAAGCACUUUAAGUAGGGAGGAAGGCCUGUAAAUUAAUACUUUGCAGGAUUGACGUUACCUACAGAAUAAGCACCGGCUAACUCCGUGCCAGCAGCCGCGGUAAUACGGAGGGUGCAAGCGUUAAUCGGAAUUACUGGGCGUAAAGCGCGCGUAGGCGGUUUGUUAAGCGAGAUGUGAAAGCCCAGGGCUCAACCUUGGAACUGCAUUUCGAACUGGCAGGCUAGAGUACAAGAGAGGGUGGUAGAAUUUCCUGUGUAGCGGUGAAAUGCGUAGAUAUAGGAAGGAAUACCAGUGGCGAAGGCGGCCACCUGGCUUGAUACUGA
rnacentral:rRNA from 1 species